AAUACAUGCAAGUCGAACGCGUUGGCCCAAUUGAUUGAUGGUGCUUGCACCUGAUUGAUUUUGGUCGCCAACGAGUGGCGGACGGGUGAGUAACACGUAGGUAACCUGCCCAGAAGCGGGGGACAACAUUUGGAAACAGAUGCUAAUACCGCAUAACAGCGUUGUUCGCAUGAACAACGCUUAAAAGAUGGCUUCUCGCUAUCACUUCUGGAUGGACCUGCGGUGCAUUAGCUUGUUGGUGGGGUAACGGCCUACCAAGGCGAUGAUGCAUAGCCGAGUUGAGAGACUGAUCGGCCACAAUGGGACUGAGACACGGCCCAUACUCCUACGGGAGGCAGCAGUAGGGAAUCUUCCACAAUGGGCGCAAGCCUGAUGGAGCAACACCGCGUGAGUGAAGAAGGGUUUCGGCUCGUAAAGCUCUGUUGUUAAAGAAGAACACGUAUGAGAGUAACUGUUCAUACGUUGACGGUAUUUAACCAGAAAGUCACGGCUAACUACGUGCCAGCAGCCGCGGUAAUACGUAGGUGGCAAGCGUUAUCCGGAUUUAUUGGGCGUAAAGAGAGUGCAGGCGGUUUUCUAAGUCUGAUGUGAAAGCCUUCGGCUUAACCGGAGAAGUGCAUCGGAAACUGGAUAACUUGAGUGCAGAAGAGGGUAGUGGAACUCCAUGUGUAGCGGUGGAAUGCGUAGAUAUAUGGAAGAACACCAGUGGCGAAGGCGGCUACCUGGUCUGCAACUGACGCUGAGACUCGAAAGCAUGGGUAGCGAACAGGAUUAGAUACCCUGGUAGUCCAUGCCGUAAACGAUGAGUGCUAGGUGUUGGAGGGUUUCCGCCCUUCAGUGCCGGAGCUAACGCAUUAAGCACUCCGCCUGGGGAGUACGACCGCAAGGUUGAAACUCAAAGGAAUUGACGGGGGCCCGCACAAGCGGUGGAGCAUGUGGUUUAAUUCGAAGCUACGCGAAGAACCUUACCAGGUCUUGACAUCUUGCGCCAACCCUAGAGAUAGGGCGUUUCCUUCGGGAACGCAAUGACAGGUGGUGCAUGGUCGUCGUCAGCUCGUGUCGUGAGAUGUUGGGUUAAGUCCCGCAACGAGCGCAACCCUUGUUACUAGUUGCCAGCAUUAAGUUGGGCACUCUAGUGAGACUGCCGGUGACAAACCGGAGGAAGGUGGGGACGACGUCAGAUCAUCAUGCCCCUUAUGACCUGGGCUACACACGUGCUACAAUGGACGGUACAACGAGUCGCGAACUCGCGAGGGCAAGCAAAUCUCUUAAAACCGUUCUCAGUUCGGACUGCAGGCUGCAACUCGCCUGCACGAAGUCGGAAUCGCUAGUAAUCGCGGAUCAGCAUGCCGCGGUGAAUACGUUCCCGGGCCUUGUACACACCGCCCGUCACACCAUGAGAGUUUGUAACACCCAAAGUCGGUGGGGUAACCUUUUAGGAGCCAGCCGCAUAAGGU
rnacentral:rRNA from 1 species